UGAACCAGCGGAGGGAUCAUUA
rnacentral:rRNA from 16 species